UCUCCGUAGGUGAACCUGCGGAGGGAUCAUUACUGAGUGAGGGUCUCCAGGCCCGACCUCCAACCCUUUUGUGAACCACCUCGUUGCUUCGGGGGCAACCCUGCCGUUCGCGGCGUGGGGCCCCCGGAGCCCAUCAAACCCUGCGUAACUUAAUCGUCGGAGUUUAAACAAAUCAAUCAAAACUUUCAACAACGGAUCUCUUGGUUCUGGCAUCGAUGAAGAACGCAGC
rnacentral:misc_RNA from 1 species